rnacentral:tRNA from 1 species
AGGGGUAUAGCUCAGUUGGUAGAGCGGCGGUCUCCAAAACCGUAGGUCGAGGGUUCAAGUCCUUCUGCCCCUGCCA